GACAGAGGGUGCAAACGUUGUUCGGAAUUACUGGGCGUAAAGCGAGUGUAGGCGGUUUCCUAAGUCAGGUGUGAAAGCCCCGGGCUCAACCCGGGAAGUGCACUUGAAACUGGGAGGCUAGAGUAUCGGAGAGGUUGGUGGAAUUCUCGGUGUAGAGGUGAAAUUCGUAGAUAUCGGGAGGAACACCGGUGGCGAAGGCGGCGAUCUGGGUAGAUACUGACGCUGAGGUGCGAAAGCGUGGGGAGCAAACAGG
rnacentral:rRNA from 1 species